GACAGCUGCUUCCUGGAAGGCCGGAUGCAGUGAGUUGUUGAGCUGGACACAACCUAUCGUGAACCAUCUUUACGGUUGCGCAUGUGCUUGUAGAGGAAAUGGAAAGCUGCUAGUGGCGGCAUGGACAAGUGGCCUAAACCACAUUGCUGACGUCCAUGAGGGACAUGGCACUCUCUGUCCCCGUUGCCUCCAUGGACGAUCCAACAGAGUGUCAUGGCUCAAAAUUGACUAUCCAGUUCAGAAACAAGUAAAAGCUAUUGUCAUGGCCCCAGUGCUUCUGAAAGACACCCGACAGCUGUCACCAGAAAGGCAGACACACUGUCUGGAGUCUUUCCAUAGUGUCCUGAAGGGCGAUGCUCCUAAUUGUACUGCAUACACACACGAGGAAAUGAAGGCUCGAACACUCAUUGCUGCCUUUAAUUUCAACGAAAAUGCCAACAGAGAGCAAGCAACAACAAAGGAUGGAACACAGCCUUGGCACAGCAAGACAUCCAAGGCCAGUCAUGGAAUGAUGAGUGCGUGUCCACUCAAGAUGGCAGCUACAUUUGGCAAGUUUAACUUUAU
rnacentral:lncRNA from 1 species